UACAGAGGUCUCAAGCGUUGUUCGGAUUCAUUGGGCGUAAAGGGUGCGUAGGCGGCGCGGUAAGUCGGGUGUGAAAUUUCGAGGCUUAACUUCGAAACUGCAUUCGAUACUGCCGUGCUUGAGGACUGGAGAGGAGACUGGAAUUUACGGUGUAGCGGUGAAAUGCGUAGAUAUCGUAAGGAAGACCAGUGGCGAAGGCGGCGACCUGGGCCAAUAUUGACGCUGAGGUGCGAAAGCGUGGGGAGCAAACAGG
rnacentral:rRNA from 1 species